GGCCAUAGCUCAGUGCUGGAGCACCUGCUCUGCAUGCAGAAGGUCCCAGGGUCAAUCCCUGGCAUCUCCA
rnacentral:tRNA from 1 species